AAGAAGCUGUUUUAUCCUAAAUUUCGGCCACGCAGGAUUGUCGCUCAACUGUGCACGCACUGGUUCGAAUAUUUUCAUUAUGCCGUUGCAGUGGCAUAGAUGGCGAAAGUUCACUGUGCCAGAUUUUUAUUGAACUAAACUGAACACUCGUGGUGCACACAAAUGCAACAUGCGAAAGGCUGUUGUUCUGUUGCGCAGUGUUUUAAGUUUUCACAC
rnacentral:lncRNA from 1 species